AGUGAACGCUGGCGGUAGGCCUAACACAUGCAAGUCGAACGGCAGCACAGUAAGAGCUUGCUCUUACGGGUGGCGAGUGGCGGACGGGUGAGGAAUACAUCGGAAUCUACUUUUUCGUGGGGGAUAACGUAGGGAAACUUACGCUAAUACCGCAUACGACCUACGGGUGAAAGCAGGGGAUCUUCGGACCUUGCGCGAUUGAAUGAGCCGAUGUCGGAUUAGCUAGUUGGCGGGGUAAAGGCCCACCAAGGCGACGAUCCAUAGCUGGUCUGAGAGGAUGAUCAGCCACACUGGAACUGAGACACGGUCCAGACUCCUACAGGAGGCAGCAGUGGGGAAUAUUGGACAAUGGGCGCAAGCCUGAUCCAGCCAUACCGCGUGGGUGAAGAAGGCCUUCGGGUUGUAAAGCCCUUUUGUUGGGAAAGAAAAGCAGCAGGUUAAUACCCCGCUGUUCUGACGGUACCCAAAGAAUAAGCACCGGCUAACUUCGUG
rnacentral:rRNA from 1 species